UACGUAGGGCGCAAGCGUUAUCCGGAAUUAUUGGGCGUAAAGAGCUCGUAGGCGGUUUGUCGCGUCUGCCGUGAAAGUCCGGGGCUCAACUCCGGAUCUGCGGUGGGUACGGGCAGACUAGAGUGAUGUAGGGGAGACUGGAAUUCCCGGUGUAGCGGUGAAAUGCGCAGAUAUCGGGAGGAACACCAGUAGCGAAGGCGGCACUCUGGGCCGGUACUGACGCUGAGGAGCGAAAGCGUGGGGAGCGAACAGG
rnacentral:rRNA from 1 species